GAUGGAUGCACACAAGUGUAUAACCUACAUCCGGCCGGACAGAAGCGUAUUGCCAUAUGUAUUUUCAGGAAAAUGGAAAAAUCCACUUGGCAAGUGACUUGGCACAGCUGGAGGUUUGGCUAACUUGAGCUGCAAUCUGUUAUUGAGCUGGGCCUGAUCUCGCGAGCCAAGCGUCCGCUUCAUGUGGCUGGCUGCGGAAAUCGGGAGCUGCUAUGGCAGAGAGUGAUGACGAACAUGCGCCCUCAUGUGGCUCAGAGGUUUAUUGCAGGAAAAAGUGAAAAGUCGAACUUCAUGAAACCGUCAAAAACCUCCGGCGAGUUUGGCAGCAGGCGUUUGGACAUUUGACUCUUCUUUCCCAAUCCUUCCACUCCUCUAAAAGACAAAAGUG